GUCAAACUGGGACACUUCAGAAUGGAAAAGCUGCCGCAGAUUUAGUUCCCCAACCACCACAAACGUCUGAAUCAACUCCAAACUUGACACCACAAG